AGAGUUUGAUCCUGGCUCAGAUUGAACGCUGGCGGCAGGCCUAACACAUGCAAGUCGAGCGGUAGAGAGAAGCUUGCUUCUCUUGAGAGCGGCGGACGGGUGAGUAAUGCCUAGGAAUCUGCCUGGUAGUGGGGGAUAACGUCCGGAAACGGACGCUAAUACCGCAUACGUCCUACGGGAGAAAGCAGGGGACCUUCGGGCCUUGCGCUAUCAGGUGAGCCUAGGUCGGAUUAGCUAGUUGGUGGGGUAAUGGCUCACCAAGGCGACGAUCCGUAACUGGUCUGAGAGGAUGAUCAGUCACACUGGAACUGAGACACGGUCCAGACUCCUACGGGAGGCAGCAGUGGGGAGUAUUGGACAAUGGGCGAAAGCCUGAUCCAGCCAUGCCGCGUGUGUGAAGAAGGUCUUCGGAUUGUAAAGCACUUUAAGUUGGGAGGAAGGGCAGUAAAUUAAUACUUUGCUGUUUUGACGUUACCGACAGAAUAAGCACCGGCUAACUCUGUGCCAGCAGCCGCGGUAAUACAGAGGGUGCAAGCGUUAAUCGGAAUUACUGGGCGUAAAGCGCGCGUAGGUGGUUCGUUAAGUUGGAUGUGAAAUCCCCGGGCUCAACCUGGGAACUGCAUUCAAAACUGACGAGCUAGAGUAUGGUAGAGGGUGGUGGAAUUUCCUGUGUAGCGGUGAAAUGCGUAGAUAUAGGAAGGAACACCAGUGGCGAAGGCGACCACCUGGACUGAUACUGACACUGAGGUGCGAAAGCGUGGGGAGCAAACAGGAUUAGAUACCCUGGUAGUCCACGCCGUAAACGAUGUCAACUAGCCGUUGGGAGCCUUGAGCUCUUAGUGGCGCAGCUAACGCAUUAAG
rnacentral:rRNA from 1 species